CGGUUUAAUUAGAUUAAACGCGUAACUAAAAUCAACAACUAUCUACCUUAAACCCAAGGUCCAACACAAGGCUCAUGUUGGAUCAAAUCAAUCGGUUCAUAAUCAUCCUAAAACCUAAUAUGACUAUAUAGUCCAUAUGAGGAUGCAAUGCAUUCGUUAGUAGUUCCAUAUAGUCUCGCUUGUUUCAACGAAACAAUGGGAGUAUUAUAUGCUACUAAUUCAUAUUGACUUGGACCAAUAGUUGUGAUAGGCCCAAGUUCUUUUAAUGUGAUUAAAAUGUUUUUGAUGUAGCCCAAAACAACUCCCUCAAAACAAAUAUUAAGUUGAUAAGCGAGAGAUGUUUUGAACAUCUCUUCGUAGGCCUUCCACCGUGGUGGGCUCCAAGCGUUUGUGACUCAUGCACCGGCUUCACCCUAUCAUGGGGGAGUACAAAGCAUGUGCUUACAUCCAGGAGGAAUCCAUAUACAUAUGAUGAGGUGAGUGUAGGCAACGAGGAUAGCCGAUAUCAUAUCAUUGUGAGGCUAUUCUUGAACCCCUUCACAAACUAAGCAUGGUGGGAAUAACUUAACUAAGUGCAAUGGAGCCGAUAUCGUAUCAUCGUGAGGCAAAAUUCUCUAGAGGCCAAACGGAUGGGUAAUUACAAAAGUUGUAAAUGAAUAAUGCGUUAUUCUCUCAUCAUUAUUUUUGCUAACCAAUAUCAUAUCAUCGUGAGGUGGGCUUGGUAAUGGUGAGUCUCCCAUAAC
rnacentral:lncRNA from 1 species